GCUGCUCGGGGCCUGCGGGAGCGCCCUGGGAUGUCGGUCCGGGAGAUGUGGCAGUGCCCUGGGCUGGCGGUCCCGAAGAUGUGGCAGUGCCCUGGGCUGGCGGUCCGGGAGAUGUGGCAGUGCCCUGGGCUGGAUUCGGAAUGAGGGUGCUGGCGGCCGGCAGUGUCCUCGGCCCGGGAGGGAAUUGUCCCGCUGGGCUCCGUGCUGGGGCGGCCUCGCCUGCGGUGCUGAGGGCAGUGAGGAGGUUCCCAAAGGAAACUGGGAGGGAGCACAGAUGGGACAGGUGACCUGAGGUGGCCAAAGGGAUAUUCCACCCCACAGAAUGUCCAGUACAUAAACUUGAGGGUGUGAUUGGGAGGGAGCUGAUCUGGGUUCAGGAAGAUCUGACAUCAGUGAAUGGAUGGUGAGCAACUGCAUUGUGCAUCAUUCAUUUUCCCCAUUAUUAUUACUAUUGUUGUUUUGUUGUGGUGGUGGUGGUGGUGUUAUAAUUUACCAUUACUACUGUAUUUUACUUUAUUUUCAAUUAUUAAACUGAGAUGGUGUGGAAUGUC